AUUGAACGCUGGCGGCAGGCCUAACACAUGCAAGUCGAACGAGUGGCGGACGGGUGAGUAAUGUGUGGGUAACUGCGCGAUGGGGGGGGGUACCGACUGGAGACGCUAGCUAAUACCGCAUACCAUCGCAUGUGCCCAGAUGGGAUUAGCUAGUAGGUGGGGUAACGGCUCACCAAGGCGACGAUCCCUAGCUGGUCUGAGAGGAUGACCAGCCACACUGGAACUGAGACACGGCCCAGACUCCUACGGGAGGCAGCAGUGGGGAAUAUUGGGCAAUGGGCGAAAGUCUGACCGAGCAACGCCGCGUGAGUGAAGAAGGUUUUCGGAUCGUAAAGCUCUGUUAGUAGGGAAGCGGUAUCUAACGAGAAAGCAACGGCUAACUACGUGCCAGCCGCCGCGGUAAUUC
rnacentral:rRNA from 1 species